GACGAACGCUGGCGGCGUGCCUAAUACAUGCAAGUCGAACGCAGUGGGGACGGGUGAGUAACACGUGGGUAACCUCCCAUCAGAGGGGAUAACACUUGGAAACAGGUGCUAAACCGAUAUGAAGGGUGGGACCCGCGGUGCUUUAGCUGGUUGGGUAGGAAACGGCUAACCAAGGCCACGAUGCAUAGCCUACCUGAGAGGUGUAUCGGCCACACUGGGACUGAGACACGGCCCAGACUCCUACGGGAGGCAGCAGUAGGGAAUCUUCGGCAAUGGACGAAAGUCUGACCGAGCAACGCCGCGUGAGUGAAGAAGGUUUUCGGAUCGUAAAACUCUGUUGUUAGAGAAGCGGUAUCUAACCAGAAAGCCACGGCUAACUACGUGCCAGCAGCCGCGGUAAUAC
rnacentral:rRNA from 1 species